rnacentral:rRNA from 1 species
GUGGGGAAUAUUGGGCAAUGGGCGCAAGCCUGACCCAGCGAUGCCGCGUGAAUGAUGAAGGCCUUCGGGUUGUAAAGUUCUUUUAGUAGGGAAGAUAAUGACGGUACCUACAGAAAAAGCACCGGCUAACUUCGUGCCAGCAGCCGCGGUAAUACGAAGGGUGCUAGCGUUGUUCGGAAUUACUGGGCGUAAAACGCGUGCAGGUGGUUUAGUAAGUUGAAAGUAAAAUCCCAGGGCUCAACCUUGGAACUGCUUUCAAAACUGCUAGACUAGAGUGCGGUAGAGGAUGAUAGAAUUCCUAGUGUAGAGGUGAAAUUCUUAGAUAUUAGGAGGAAUACCGAUGGCGAAGGCAAUCAUCUGGGCCGUUACUGACACUAAUACGCGAAAGCGUGGGGAGCAAACAGGAUUAGAAACCCUGGUAGUCC